CACGUAGGGGGCGAGCGUUGUCCGGAUUUAUUGGGCGUAAAGAGCUCGUAGGCGGCUCAGUAAGUCGGGUGUGAAACCUCCAGGCUCAACCUGGAGACGCCACCUGAUACUGCUGUGGCUGGAGUCCGGUAGGGGAGCGUGGAAUUCCUGGUGUAGCGGUGAAAUGCGCAGAUAUCAGGAAGAACACCUGUGGCGAAAGCGGCGCACUGGACCACAACUGACGCUGAGGCGCGAAAGCUAGGGGAGCAAACAGG
rnacentral:rRNA from 1 species